rnacentral:rRNA from 1 species
GCCCAGCUUGCUGGGUGGAUUAGUGGCGAACGGGUGAGUAACACGUGAGUAACCUGCCCCCGACUCUGGGAUAAGCCCGGGAAACUGGGUCUAAUACCGGAUAUGACCUCGCACCGCAUGGUGCGGGGUGGAAAGAUUUAUCGGUGGGGGAUGGACUCGCGGCCUAUCAGCUUGUUGGUGAGGUAAUGGCUCACCAAGGCGACGACGGGUAGCCGGCCUGAGAGGGUGACCGGCCACACUGGGACUGAGACACGGCCCAGACUCCUACGGGAGGCAGCAGUGGGGAAUAUUGCACAAUGGGCGAAAGCCUGAUGCAGCGACGCCGCGUGAGGGAUGACGGCCUUCGGGUUGUAAACCUCUUUCAGUAGGGAAGAAGCGAAAGUGACGGUACCUGCAGAAGAAGCGCCGGCUAACUACGUGCCAGCAGCCGCGGUAAUACGUAGGGCGCAAGCGUUAUCCGGAUUUAUUGGGCGUAAAGAGCUCGUAGGCGGUUUGUCGCGUCUGCCGUGAAAGUCCGAGGCUCAACCUCGGAUCUGCGGUGGGUACGGGCAGACUAGAGUGAUGUAGGGGAGACUGGAAUUCCUGGUGUAGCGGUGAAAUGCGCAGAUAUCAGGAGGAACACCGAUGGCGAAGGCAGGUCUCUGGGCAUUUACUGACGCUGAGGAGCGAAAGCAUGGGGAGCGAACAGGAUUAGAUACCCUGGUAGUCCAUGCCGUAAACGUUGGGCACUAGGUGUGGGGGACAUUCCACGUUUUCCGCGCCGUAGCUAACGCAUUAAGUGCCCCGCCUGGGGAGUACGGCCGCAAGGCUAAAACUCAAAGGAAUUGACGGGGGCCCGCACAAGCGGCGGAGCAUGCGGAUUAAUUCGAUGCAACGCGAAGAACCUUACCAAGGCUUGACAUGUGCCAGACCGCCUCAGAGAUGGGGUUUCCCUUCGGGGCUGGUUCACAGGUGGUGCAUGGUUGUCGUCAGCUCGUGUCGUGAGAUGUUGGGUUAAGUCCCGCAACGAGCGCAACCCUCGUUCCAUGUUGCCAGCACGUAGUGGUGGGGACUCAUGGGAGACUGCCGGGGUCAACUCGGAGGAAGGUGGGGAUGACGUCAAAUCAUCAUGCCCCUUAUGUCUUGGGCUUCACGCAUGCUACAAUGGCCGGUACAAUGGGUUGCAAUACUGUGAGGUGGAGCUAAUCCCUAAAAGCCGGUCUCAGUUCGGAUUGGGGUCUGCAACUCGACCCCAUGAAGUCGGAGUCGCUAGUAAUCGCAGAUCAGCAACGCUGCGGUGAAUACGUUCCCGGGCCUUGUACACACCGCCCGUCAAGUCACGAAAGUUGGUAACACCCGAAGCCGAUGGCCUAACCACCUUGUGU